AUUUCAAGAGUGCUUCUGAUUGGGAGCUCAUGGAACGUAGCAGCUUCCAAGGUAUCUGGAUCUUUGAAAAGAAAAGAAAGAGGUGGAAAGGAGGUAGGAUUGUAGAUGGUGGUGAUUCACUCACCAGGGUGUAACACAGAUGCUUCCUACAUACCUGCUUGCAAAAUUCUGCAGUGGUAAGUAAAAUAAACGUCUGUUUUCUAAAAGGAAAUUGACAUCAGAAAAUUGCGGUGCUGUUAGAUUGAGUUGCUAGGUUCUUUGGAUAGAAUUAAGGAAAUUUAAACCACAUGAGUGUAUGAGAUCCAAAUUUUCCAUUAAAGUUGUAACUCGACUUCUUGCCUGUGUAAUUAGUUUAGAAAUCCAAUAUCCUACCUUUUCAUAAAUCUAACUCAACUACAACAAAAUUGAUUUUGUAAUGACUAUACCCCACGAGGACAUGAAUAAUACAUUCAUACAAUCCUUCUUGAUUAAAAUAUCCCAUGAAGUGCUAACAACCUGAUUUUAGAUUUCAUGACUGCAGAAAACCAAAAAAUGGAAGGAAAAAGAAAAGUUUCCCAUCAAUAAAACCUGCAAAGGGAUUGUGACUGUUAGGAAAAUGCUCAGGAAGUAUUUCCCUGAGGAAAGUAGUUAGAAAAAUGUGUUUUGAAAAAAUGUAUUUUGUGUAUUAAGUUCCAAGUACAGCCGUCGAGUUAGAUGCAGACCUCUGGCUGUUGUCCAGAGGACUUAGGAAGAUGGGAAGUAUGGAUAGUCCUGUCCUAUACCCAGUGCUGAGCCUUUCUCCAAGGGACCUGUUUCUUUUCCUGGCACAUACAAAGAAAGAAGAGCAAGGAUCGCUGUUCAGAAAUCCUGUGUGGCAAUCACUGUGUUUUCUUGGCCACAAAAAAGCACUGAAGCCCAGAGCGCAAACUAAGAGCUCAACAAUAACAAAGUAGGAGAGCAUGAAAUUCGGCUAAUUAGAAUGAGCUGCACAUUACUUCACAGAGACAUUGUCACGUGAUUCUACGAUUCUUUGCCUUGCAUUGGGAACCAGACAGAGGCUGAGCACUCUGAGAGGACAUAUGUAAGCAUUCAUCAGGUAUGUUUUUUUAUUAUUUUUAUUUUUCAUUCUUAGUGGAAUCUGAAGUUUUGAAAUUUUCUGUGUUUUAUCCGAGCCUCUAAGAUACCUCAUGACUUUAUGUACAUCUUAAUAGUUUUGCAUUUCAACUGGAUUGGUGCGUGUGUGAAAGCAAGCAGUAGCAAUUUAAAAUGUAACAGAUAAGGAUGUGUGAUUGCAACUGCAUCCCAAAGUUCACUAAGAAAUCUCGAUAAAGUAGAAGAAUAACAUUUCUGUUAAGGGUUGUUUUCCUGUCACAUUCAGUCUCCUUCUUUAGGCACAGACACUUGAGUGGUGCCAGCAGAUUUGUCACUAUAAGUAAUGCCUUCCUGCCUGUAUAGCACUUAUCUUCCCUGCCACAGCUCAUUGCGUUUUUUCUUAAUUGAAUUUGUAAACCUUCUGGGAUGGUUUCACACAAAC
ensembl:lncRNA